AAAAGAUAUUUCUGUUCCUAGAGCCACCUGCUUGGAAGUAGUAAUCUGCCUUCCCUACUUAAUUGUAAUUAAAAAAGAUAACAGCAGCUUAAUAUAAUAUUUGAGGAAUUAUGUUUUGGAGAAAUAUGUUUUUGAUAAGAGAAAUUUGAAAGUUGAUUGUCAUGGCUACUUGGUUUCUUCACCACUUGAAGAAUUAUUCACACUUAACACAUACAAUUUUUGCCAUGAUGAUUAUACUGAAAAAGGACAAAACUGAUAAGAGUGAGAAAAAGACCAAAAAUGAGAGAGAGAGAGAGAG
rnacentral:misc_RNA from 1 species